rnacentral:rRNA from 1 species
CACGUAGGGGGCGAGCGUUGUCCGGAUUUAUUGGGCGUAAAGAGCUCGUAGGCGGUCCGUCACGUCGGCUGUGAAAACCCGGGGCUCAACCCCGGGCCUGCAGUCGAUACGGGCGGACUAGAGUUCGGCAGGGGAGACUGGAAUUCCUGGUGUAGCGGUGAAAUGCGCAGAUAUCAGGAGGAACACCGGUGGCGAAGGCGGGUCUCUGGGCCGAUACUGACGCUGAGGAGCGAAAGCGUGGGGAGCGAACAGG